CUCCUACGGGAGGCAGCAGUGGGGAAUAUUGGACAAUGGGGGCAACCCUGAUCCAGCAAUGCCGCGUGUGUGAAGAAGGCCUUCGGGUUGUAAAGCACUUUUAUCCGGAACGAAACGUGCGGGGUGAAUAGCCUCGUAAACUGACGGUACCGGAGGAAUAAGCACCGGCUAACUUCGUGCCAGCAGCCGCGGUAAUACGAAGGGUGCAAGCGUUACUCGGAAUUACUGGGCGUAAAGGGUGCGUAGGUGGUUUUUUAAGUCUGCUGUGAAAUCCCCGGGCUCAACCUGGGAAUGGCAGUGGAUACUGGAAAGCUGGAGUGCGGUAGAGGGUAGUGGAAUUCCCGGUGUAGCAGUGAAAUGCGUAGAGAUCGGGAGGAACACCAGUGGCGAAGGCGGCUACCUGGACCAGCACUGACACUGAGGCACGAAAGCGUGGGGAGCAAACAGGAUUAGAUACCCUGGUAGUCCACGCCCUAAACGAUGCGAACUGGAUGUUGGGUGCAACUUGGCACUCAGUAUCGAAGCUAACGCGUUAAGUUCGCCGCCUGGGGAGUACGGUCGCAAGACUGAAACUCAAAGGAAUUGACGGGGGCCCGCACAAGCGGUGGAGUAUGUGGUUUAAUUCGAUGCAACGCGAAGAACCUU
rnacentral:rRNA from 1 species